UCAACCUAAAAGAAAAUAGUAAGUUUUAGUACAACAAAACUUUUCAAAAAACACAAGCAAUGCUGUUACUGUAGGCAGGGGCGGACAGGGACAAUAAUCCAGGCCAGGAAUUUGAUGCCAUCCCAGGCCACCACCAGCAAAUUAAAGCUAAUUGUCGGGUUCUGGGUUGUCUGUAUAUUGUGCUUGCAACAUUUCUUCAGUUUUUUUUAGUGCUGGAGUUUUCAGGCGCUGGGUGACAGGUGUGACUUAUUCUGCUGAUUGCAUGGAUGAGUACUUAAGCAGCAGGCUGCCAGCACUUCGACACCAGAAUGUUUUGCCUUCAGUGGUAACAAGCUCAGCCACCUCUAAUCUAUGUUUUGUUUUUCAAUCCAAGUAAUUGUUUAUGCUCCUUCACAGGCUGAAACCUAAAUCUUGGAUUUACCUUGCUGAACACAGACUUUGGUCCCAGAAGUUCUGGGCAAUCAAGAUUAUCUACAUUUUGAGGACUUUGUUUCCUAACGCCUGACUUUCAUCUGGACUCAGAUCAAGCUGGCAGCUUCCUGCUUCCUCCGUCUUCUGGACCAAGGCAUAAGCGUACCCUGUCCACCCUCCAACGCAAGUAUCUGCACAUUGGAUUUACUCCUGGUCUCACCAAGCCCACUCAAACAGCACCAGAGAAAUCAUCUGAACAAACCCUGCUUCGUAAACCUGGACCCCGAAUCCCUCUACCCCUGGCGAUCUGACUGCACCUAUUUAUUGGUGAUACACCCGUUCACGUUCCUGAUUAUUUGCUGAAAACGAAACUCCAUUUUACUGAUUCGGUUUCUUCCGAGUGUACUUCUGUAUGUGGGUCAGAUGUAUUUCGAAAACAAUGACACUAACCACCAAGACUAAGUUAAAUUGUGCACACUUUCAAUGCAUGACGUCUGCACAAGUCAUCAACUGAAUACCUACAAAAUGUUUCUGCUGUGGGCAAUAUUAUGAACCCAAAUCACAUUAACUGAAAUUCAUUUCACCUAUAUUAUGCUAUGUAUAAACCAUUUAAACUCACUAAUAUGACAGUAAAUCAUUUAACAAAUGAUUUGGAAUUCUUUUAUUUGUGUGAUUUAGGCCCUACUGAAAAACAAAUCCAAAUUCUUUGAGUGAGGCUGGGAAAAAUAAUCAAAUGGCUUCUCUUGGCUUUAAUGUCUAUUGCUGUACUUGUCUUUCCACAUCUCUCUCUGUACUGCUGGCUGCUCUGCAAAAUGAAAUUAACUUAAUUUUAAAUAUUUGUAAUGAGUGAGGCACAACGUAUUCUAAGACCAUAGCCUGCAGGUGUGAUUUGUGCUUAAAUUGUACCUGAAGGUCCCCACCAACUCCAAACAGCUGCUUUCCACCACCUCCAUGACAGCAGGAGCUCUUGCAGCACUGGUGCUGCUCCCUGUACUAACACUGCUUUCUUCAGCACCCUAAUAAAGAGAAUUUGAAAUCCACCCAUAAUUUCCCAUCUAUUCAAAUUGGCUAUAUUUACAUUACAAAUAUUUUCUUUAUUUCAACGGGAUGUUACCUGGUUAAAUAAAGGUUAAAUAAAAAAACGGAUUACAAUAUUUAUAUAAUUUCUUGUGGA